GGUCAGAACGAACGCUGGCGGCAUGCCUAACACAUGCAAGUUGAACGAGGUCCUUUGGGGCCUAGUGGCGCCCGGGUGGGUAACGCGUGGGAAUUUGCCCCUUGAUUUGGAAUAACAGUUAGAAAUGACUGGUAAUUCCGGAUGAUGUUUUUGGACCAAAGAUUUAUUGGCAAGGGAUGAGCCCGCGUAGGAUUAGGUAGUUGGUGGGGUAAAGGCCUACCAAGCCGACGAUCCUUAGGUGGUUUGAGAGGAUGAUUAGCCACACUGGGACUGAGACACGGCCCAGACUCCUUCGGGAGGCAGCAGUGGGGAAUAUUGGACAAUGGGGGAAAGCCUGGGCCAGCAAUGCCGCGUGAGUGAUGAAGGCCUUAGGGUUGUAAAGCUUUUUUUCCAGGGAUGAUAAUGACUUUUAAAGGGGAAUAAGCUCCGGCUAACUCCGUG
rnacentral:rRNA from 1 species